CCUCUCAUGAGGAAGAAUCAAUUUGCAAAGUAUUAAGUCCUUGGGCUCUGCUGAGGAAAGGUGACCACCCAUGAAAACAACUGACAUGAAAAGAAUGCAAGGUUUUCCUCUGGCCCCUCCUGGCUCUACAGCCUGGGCUGCAGGAGCUGAUGUACCAGUGGAGUUGUGUUUACUCAAGAAAUUGUUGCCAGCAGUGGUUGUGGAGUGACACAAUCCAUCCCAUUCCUGGAUACCUCUGGGACAAAGAAGUUCUCCCACAGCCUGCCAGGACGGGGAAGUGGUGAGUCAAAACACCAACAUGUGGGGCUGAAGCACAG